CACCGCACACGGACCGGUCCGCGUCUCAGAGCCGCAUCGUCCCCCUGGUGCUGCCGGCGUGGCUCUGUAUCUGGAGCUUUACCGGAGCCCACCGUGCACCUCUGUAAAACUGCCGGCACUGCCUGGGGGCCGCGGGACACGCGCAGGAGGACCCCAGGCCUGGUCGCCCCCUUGAACACGGCGGGCUGUUGCCGGGAGAGCCGCCCGGGGACGCGACCACGCCCUGUGGAUGAGGGGUGCCGACACCCGGGCACGCGCAAUGGUUACCUACGCUUAGGGGCCGGAUUCCACGUUCCGCCCGUGAAACGCGCGCCCCGCUCUCCAGAACGGGAGGGGAUGUUUACUAGGCAUAUUGGACAGACUGGUUUUCCAGUGAAGUCAUAACUGAAAUGCUGUAUGUUGCCGUUGUGCUCGGAUGCGCACUGGUGAUGCUUCAUCUGCUGUGCGCGCAGCGCGCCUCCAUCAUCACAGAAGCGGGGCGCAGCGCGGCGGGGAGACCUCGGACACCUCCAGCCGAGGCCACCUGCCACUCCCCACCUUCCAGGGCCCUCCGGACUCCAUCUUCUCUCCGUCCCAGCUUUCCCACCUGGCUCCUGUCUGGGGGCAGGCCUGCGGAGAGCUGAUUCCUGUCCUUCCCCACGGGGACAGUGGCUUGGGGUGGCCUGAGCGCACUCUUGUUACUCUGCCAAAAUGCAGCCUAAAGCAUUCUGAUUGUUAAAUAAUUCAAAAAACGUUCAUCUGUCUUUGCUGCUCUUGUGAAACUCAGAUCAAACCCUACACCUUAGAAGUACCCGUUCUUUGCAGCCGAUCCCACUGCAGUGUACACAGAACAGAAACCGAGGGAAGCCGGCAGAGUCAGGAGUCCCGAACGAUUCCCACGGGACAAGCGCACCGCCUAACAAGGGACAGGAAAAAGAGGCAGCGGGCAGGGGCAGAAAAGGGCACGCUGAGGUGCGCUCGCGCCCCAGAGGAGC